rnacentral:misc_RNA from 1 species
ACUAUUUGAACGGACAUUUGGUAAAUUCAAUUUGAAGAAUACUAAUUCUUCGUCAAGAUAAUAUCGUUUUAUACUUUUCAUUUCGUGAUUAAAAUCAACAGUGAACAUUCAACAAAGAAGUGAUUAUUCCCGAAUAUUGUUACGAUGAAAAUAUACAGUUCACAGAGAAAGAGAGAGAGAGAGAGAGACAGAAUAUAUCUCGGAAAUCGCAUGCGUAAGAUCUGAUGACGAUAUAUAGAGUACCAGAGGAAGGCAGUUGCGCUUAAACGGCGUCUAGCAUCGGACGUUUUAACGUGAUAUGAAAGAUACUAGUCCCAUUUUUUAUAAAGUAUUAAUUUUUUUAAUGGAUGGAUUUUUAAAAUUUACGAAAUAAAAUCUAGUGUAAAGAUAAAAUUCAUACUUAAUCAAAUUUCAAAACUUGUUUAUUGAAGAUUGAAAUUGGAAAUUGAAAAUUGUUGUUUUCUUUAAGUGGAAACAUCUGCUACUUUUUACGAUUUGUGAUAGACAAAACUAGAAAAUUAAAAGGAAAAUCAAAGUAUUUCUUCAGCGCAUUAUCAAGUGGAGAGAUAUUUUUAAUGACUUUUUACUUUGAACAAAUGCUAUACACUUUUUGAUAACUUCUAUGUAAUAUCCUGCUGAACAACUUCCGGACAAUGAGAAACGAUCAUUAGUGCAGUAAUACAAUUGAAAUAAAUAAAAAAACUGGGACAGUAUAAUGGACGUAUAUGAAGAUAUUGAUUUCAAUAAUCCUAACAGUUUUAAUAUGCAAAAUCGAACUUUGGAAAUAAAAGCAAAUCAGUGUCAUCAAGGAAAUAUUUCAUCAUCCGGAUGGUGUCCGGAAAUUUGGGACAAGAUAUUAUGCUGGCCAUCAACGGCACCUGGAGAGCUGGCCAUUUUAUCUUGUCCUUCUUACAUCGUAGGAUUUGAUAACCACGCAAAUGCCUCCAGACAAUGUAUGAUGAACGGACAAUGGUUAUGGAAUAGCACUAUCAACAAUACUUGGAGUAAUUACAGCCAAUGCUAUAAAAGCAAUCUUGUAACUAUAGUGGUGGAGUUGCCUGAAGAAGAACAAAAAAACAUUGAUAUUGUCAUUAAGAAAUAUGUUCCAAUAGUGAAGAUUAUCUCAAAAAUUGGAUAUACUGUUUCCUUCUUCACUUUAGUGAUAGCUUUCUUUAUUUUAGCUGUGAUUAAUUUAUCCCGAAUUGGACGUAGGAAAUUAAGAUGUCCCCGGAAUAUGCUGCACAUGCAUUUGUUUGCUUCGUUCAUAUUUCGUGCAUUCAUGGCAUUGAUGAAGGACAUAUUAUUCGUCUCUGGCAUUUCCUUAGCCUCAGACGUGAUGAUAAAAAACGGGAAAACAUAUUGGCUGGUUGAUAAAAAAGAGAACAGUUGGCUUUGUAAAAUGUUCACUAGCUUUUGGCAGUAUUUCAUUCUCGCCAACUACUUUUGGAUAUUAAUGGAAGGUCUCUAUUUGCAUAAUCUAGUCUUUUUAGCACUUUUCACCGAUGUAAACUCGAGCAUUGCUGUCUACAUUUGUCUCGGAUGGGGAUUGCCAGCACUAUUCGUAUUAUGUUGGAUUGUAGCGAGAGUGACUCUUGAAAAUAAGUACUGUUGGACCAUUCAUGAAAAUUCCAAUCUUUUUCUUUUGAUUCGAGUUCCAACUAUGCUUUCCAUUUUGAUCAACUUCGUGUUAUUUGUCAAUAUCGUUAGAGUGCUCUUGUUAAAGUUGAAAUCCACAGUAUCAGAGGAAACACAAAGAUACAAGAGAUGGGCAAAAAGUACUUUGGUUCUGGUACCAUUAUUUGGAAUUCAUUAUACUCUUUUUUUGGGCAUGUCUUACAGUAUUGGUAAAAAUAAAACUGUUGAAAUUGUGUGGCUCUUUUGUGAUCAACUUUUUGCAUCUUUCCAAGGUUUCUUUGUGGCUGUUUUAUAUUGUUUUCUCAAUGGCGAAGUACGGACUGAAGUAACUAGAGUAAUUAAAAACCAGAGAUUACUCCAUUUUCAUACUAAAUGGGUCUCCAGACAUUCCACUCACUCAAAUAGUACGUGUAGUUGCAAUCCAUCGAAAGUUGAUAAACAUUCGAAGCGAUCACGCUGGUGGAAAGCACCUUGGCUCUAUUUUCUUAAUGAUAGGACAGCACGACGCUCCACCCACUCGAUGAUAUUGGUACGAGGGGAGGUAGUUUAGCAAGUAGCAGAGGUUACCUGGAAAUUGCAGGAAAUGGACAGAGUGCGUAUCCAGAGAAUCAAAAACAAACAAAUCACACGUCAUUCUCCUAUGGUAAAUACACCGAUCAAUCGUUACUUCCCUUUUGCUCGAAUGAUUCAGAAGUUACACCCUGUACGGGACUGAAUAUUCAUAGAAUUCGAGAACAGCAUCGUUGGAGUGAUUCAGAAUGCUGUCAUCUCGCUUAUGAAUUACACAAUUUACAUAAUGGACCCACA